GAGUUUGAUCCUGGCUCAGAGCGAACGCUGGCGGCAGGCCUAACACAUGCAAGUCGAGCGGCCGUAAGCAAUACGGCAGCGGCAGACGGGAGAGUAACACGUGGAACGUCGCCCUUUGGUUCGGAAUAACGCAGGGAAACUUGCGCUAAUACCGGAUGAGCCCUUACGGGGAAAGAGUUUAUCGCCAAAGGAGCGGCCCGCGUCUGAUUAGCUAGUUGGUGAGGUAACGGCUCACCAAGGACGACGAUCAGUAGCUGGUCUGAGAGGAUGAUCAGCCUCACUGGGACUGAGACACGGCCCAGACUCUACGGGAGCAGCAGUGGGGAAUAUUGGACAAUGGGCGCGAAGCCUGAUCCAGCCAAUGCCGCGUGGAUGGUGAAGGCCUUUGGGUUGUAAA
rnacentral:rRNA from 1 species